CCUACGGGAGGCUGCAGUGAGGAAUAUUGGUCAAUGGGCGCAAGCCUGAACCAGCCAAGUCGCGUGAGGGAAGACGGCCCUACGGGUUGUAAACCUCUUUUGCCGGGGAGCAAGCCUGAGCACGUGUGCCCAGGCGGAGAGUACCCGGAGAAAAAGCAUCGGCUAACUCCGUGCCAGCAGCCGCGGUAAUACGGAGGAUCCGAGCGUUAUCCGGAUUUAUUGGGUUUAAAGGGAGCGUAGGCGGGUUGUUAAGUCAGUUGUGAAAGUUUGCGGCUCAACCGUAAAAUUGCAGUUGAUACUGGCAUCCUUGAGUACAGUAGAGGUAGGCGGAAUUCGUGGUGUAGCGGUGAAAUGCUUAGAUAUCACGAAGAACUCCGAUUGCGAAGGCAGCCUGCUGGACUGUAACUGACGCUGAUGCUCGAAAGUGUGGGUAUCAAACAGGAUUAGAUACCCUAGUAGUC
rnacentral:rRNA from 1 species